AGGGGUAUAGCUUAGUGGUAGAGCAUAUGCUUAGCAUGCAGGAGGUCCUGGGUUCAAUCCCCAGGAGCUCUA
rnacentral:tRNA from 1 species